GAUGAACGCUGGCGGCGUGCCUAAUACAUGCGAGUCGAGCGAACAGAUGAGGAGCUUGCUCCUCUGACGUUAGCGGCGGACGGGUGAGUAACACGUGGAUAACCUACCUAUAAGACUGGGAUAACUUCGGGAAACCGGAGCUAAUACCGGAUAAUAUAUUGAACCGCAUGGUUCAAUAGUGAAAGACGGUUUUGCUGUCACUUAUAGAUGGAUCCGCGCCGCAUUAGCUAGUUGGUAAGGUAACGGCUUACCAAGGCAACGAUGCGUAGCCGACCUGAGAGGGUGAUCGGCCACACUGGAACUGAGACACGGUCCAGACUCCUACGGGAGGCAGCAGUAGGGAAUCUUCCGCAAUGGGCGAAAGCCUGACGGAGCAACGCCGCGUGAGUGAUGAAGGUCUUCGGAUCGUAAAACUCUGUUAUUAGGGAAGAACAAAUGUGUAAGUAACUAUGCACGUCUUGACGGUACCUAAGCAGAAAGCCACGGCUAACUACGU
rnacentral:rRNA from 1 species